UCCCUGGUGGCUCAGACGGUAAAGUGUCUGUCUAAAGAUGCAGGAGACCCAGGUUCGAUCCCUGGGUUGGGAA
rnacentral:tRNA from 1 species